CAACAGCGAACACGACUGAGAAAAGAAAAAAAGAAAAGAAAAAGAAAGGGACAAAGCGCUCUGGACUGAGUGCCUUCAACCAUAAGGAGGUUAUCUGUUUAACACAGGAAGACCAGGGACCAUGCAUGUGUUUCCUCGUGGCUGGAAGGACUUGGUGGAGGCAUAGAGAGAUGACAUUGUGGGCCUCAGCUGGU
rnacentral:lncRNA from 1 species